UACGUAGGGGGCAAGCGUUGUCCGGAAUCAUUGGGCGUAAAGCGCGUGUAGGCGGCUUGGUAAGUCCGGUGUGAAACCUUGGGGCUCAACCCCAAGCCUGCAUCGGAAACUGCCUCGCUCGAGUCCGGGAGGGGAGAGCGGAAUUCCUAGUGUAGCGGUGAAAUGCGCAGAUAUUAGGAAGAACACCGGUGGCGAAGGCGGCUCUCUGGAACGGUACUGACGCUGAGACGCGAAAGCUAGGGGAGCAAACGGG
rnacentral:rRNA from 1 species